rnacentral:rRNA from 1 species
GUCCUAGCCCUAAACGAUCAGGACUUGACGUGGGCCCCGUCCGGGGUCCGUGCCGUAGCCAACGUGAUAAGUCCUGCGCCUGGGGAGUACGGUCGCAAGGGCUGAAACUCAAAGGAAUUGAACGGGGGCCCGCACAAGCGGUGGAACAUGUGGUUCAAUUCGACGCAACGCGAAGAACCUUACCUGGGCUCGAAAUGUACCGGACCAGCCGUGGAAACAUGGCCUUCCCGCAAAGGGACCGGUAUAUAAGGUGCUGCAAUGGCUGUCGU